AUUGAACGCUGGCGGCAGGCUUAACACAUGCAAGUCGAGCGGGGUGAUGGUGCUUGCACUAUCACUUAGCGGCGGACGGGUGAGUAAUCCUUAGGAAUCUGCCUAUUAGUGGGGGGCAACAUUCCGAUGGUAAUGCUAAUACCGCAUACGUCCUACGGGAGUAAGCAGGGGAUCUUCGGACCUUGCGCUACUAGAUCAACCUAACUCGGCUUAGCUAGAUGGUGGGGUAAAGGCCUAUCAAGGCGACGAUCUGUAGCGGGUCUGAGAGGAUGGACCGCCACACUGGGACUGAGAAACGGUCCAGACUCCUACUGGAGGCAGCAGUGGGGAAUAUUGGGCAAUGGGGGGACCCCUGAUCCAGCCAUGCCGCGUGUGUGAAGAAGGCCUUUUGGUUGUAAAGCACUUUAAGCGAGGAGGAGGCUACUGAGACUAAUACUCUUGGAUAGUGGACGUUACUCGCAGAAUAAGCACCGGCUAACUCUGUGCCAGCAGCCGCGGUAA
rnacentral:rRNA from 1 species